UACGUAGGGGGCUAGCGUUGUCCGGAAUCAUUGGGCGUAAAGCGUGCGCAGGCGGUGAUGUAAGACAGAUGUGAAAUCCCCGGGCUCAACCUGGGAACUGCAUUUGUGACUGCAUCGCUGGAGUGCGGCAGAGGGGGAUGGAAUUCCGCGUGUAGCAGUGAAAUGCGUAGAUAUGCGGAGGAACACCGAUGGCGAAGGCAAUCCCCUGGGCCUGCACUGACGCUCAUGCACGAAAGCGUGGGGAGCAAACAGG
rnacentral:rRNA from 1 species